rnacentral:rRNA from 1 species
CUAGCAGUGAGAAGGUGGGUAUGUUAAUAGCAUAUUCAUUUGACGUUAGCUGCAGAAGAAGCACCGGCUAACUCCGUGCCAGCAGCCGCGGUAAUACGGAGGGUGCGAGCGUUAAUCGGAAUUACGUGGGCGUAAAGCGCAUGCAGGUUGGUUGUUAAGUCAGAUGUGAAACGCCCGGGGCUCAACCUCGGAAUUGCAUUUAGAAACUGGACAAACUAGAGUACUGUAGAGGGGGUAGAAUUUCAGGUGUAGCGGUGAAAUGCGUAGAGAUCUGAAGGAAUACCGGUGGCGAAGGCGGCCCCCUGGACAGAUACUGACACUCAGAUGCGAAAGCGUGGGGAGCAAACAGGAUUAGAUACCCUGGUAG